GAGGUCUUAGCUUAAUUAAAGUGUCUGGUUUGCAUUCAGAAGAUACAGGUUAGUACCUUGUAGACCUUA
rnacentral:tRNA from 1 species